CAGCCUGCCCAGUGACAAAGUUCAACGGCCGCGGUACCCUAACCGUGCGAAGGUAGCAUAAUCACUUGUUCUUUAAAUGAGGACUUGUAUCAACGGCACUACGAGGGCUAUACUGUCUCCUUUUUCUAAUCAGUGAAACUGAUCUCCCCGUGAAGAAGCGGGGAUUAAAAUAUAAGACGAGAAGACCCCAUGGAGCUUUAAACUUACCACACACCUCUGUGAUGCUCUACCAUUAAACACAAGAGAUCUGCGUGCUAGUUUUAGGUUGGGGGGACCACGGAGUAAAAUUAAACCUCCACAACAAAUGGGCUUACACCCUUAUCCACGAGACACAACUCUAAGAAUUAUUAAACUAAUGCUUAUGACCCGAUAUUCGAUCAAUGAACCAAGUUACCCUGGGGAUAACAGCGCAAUCUACUUCAAGAGCCCCUAUCGACAAGUAGGUUUACGACCUCCAUGUUGGAUCAGGGCAUCCCGGUGGUGCAGCCGCUACCGAUGGUUCGUUUGUUCAACGAUUAAAACCCUACGUGAUCUGA
rnacentral:rRNA from 1 species